CCAUGUUACGUUGAAACACCGAUUCUCGUCUGAUCACCGAAGUUAAGCAAUGUUGAGCCUGGUCAGUACUUAGAUUGGUGACUGCUUAGGAAUAUUAUGCGCUGUAGG